CUGCGAAUGGCUCAUUAAAUCAGUUAUCGUUUAUUUGAUAGUACCUUACUACUUGGAUAACCGUGGUAAUUCUAGAGCUAAUACAUGCUAAAAACCCCGACUCACGAAGGGGUGUAUUUAUUAGAUUAAAAACCAAUGCCCUUCGGGGCUCUUUGGUGAUUCAUAAUAACUUUUCGAAUCGCAUGGCCUUGCGCCGGCGAUGGUUCAUUCAAAUUUCUGCCCUAUCAACUUUCGAUGGCAGGGUCUUGGCCUGCCAUGGUUACAACGGGUAACGGAGGGUUAGGGCUCGACCCCGGAGAAGGAGCCUGAGAAACGGCUACUACAUCCAAGGAAGGCAGCAGGCGCGCAAAUUACCCAAUCCCGAUUCGGGGAGGUAGUGACAAUAAAUACUGAUACAGGGCUCUUUUGGGUCUUGUAAUUGGAAUGAGUACAAUUUAAAUCCCUUAACGAGGAACAAUUGGAGGGCAAGUCUGGUGCCAGCAGCCGCGGUAAUUCCAGCUCCAAUAGCGUAUAUUAAAGUUGUUGCAGUUAAAAAGCUCGUAGUUGAACCUUGGGCCUGGCUGGCCGGUCCGCCUCACCGCGUGCACUGGUUCGGCCGGGCCUUUCCCUCUGGGGAACCUCAUGGUCUUCACUGAUCGUGAUGGGGAACCAGGACUUUUACUGUGAAAAAAUUAGAGUGUUCAAAGCAGGCCUAUGCUCGAAUACAUUAGCAUGGAAUAAUAAAAUAGGACGUGUGGUUCUAUUUUGUUGGUUUCUAGGACCGCCGUAAUGAUUAAUAGGGACAGUCGGGGGCAUCAGUAUUCAAUUGUCAGAGGUGAAAUUCUUGGAUUUAUUGAAGACUAACUACUGCGAAAGCAUUUGCCAAGGAUGUUUUCAUUAAUCAGGAACGAAAGUUAGGGGAUCGAAGACGAUCAGAUACCGUCGUAGUCUUAACCAUAAACUAUGCCGACUAGGGAUCGGACGGUGUUACUUAUUGACCCGUUCGGCACCUUACGAGAAAUCAA
rnacentral:rRNA from 1 species